rnacentral:tRNA from 1 species
AGGGUAAUAGCUCAGUGGUUAAGAGUGCAUGCUUGGUAUGCAUGAGGUCCUGAGUUCAAUUCCCAGGACCCCUU